rnacentral:lncRNA from 1 species
UUUUUGUAAUCAAAAUUAUUUUGUUCUCACUAUAAAGGCAGUAAGCUCCUACAGGACAUUUUAAAACUACAUAAAUGUGCCAUCCCCAGCUCAACCGAUUAUAAACAACUGCCGAAAGAUUGUGGGUACAAGCCAGCUGCCAUGUUGUGAGCACAUACCACAUAGCUCCAUGGAGAUGCCCAUGUGACUGUGAUGAAGAGCUAAGACUUCCUGUCAGUGGCCGUGUGAGUGACCCAUGUUAGAAACAGAUCCGCCAGCCCAAACAGAACCUUCAGACAACUGCAGCCCCAGCUGGCAUCUUGACUGCAACUCAUGAGCGAUUCUAAGCCCACCGAAGCUGCUCUUGAAUUAUUGAUUCACAAAAACUUUUAGGCUGGACUGCAGUGCUGCUGUCAUACCUCACUACAUCCUCGAACUCCUGGGCCCAAGUGAUCCUCCCACCUUGGCCUCCCAAAUAGCUGAGACUAUAGGUGUGCACUACCACACCUGGCUAAUUUUUUAUUUUUUGGUAGAGAUGGUGUCUCCUUCUGUUGACCAGGCUGGUAAAUCCUGGCCUCAAGCAAUCUUCCUGCCUUGGCCUUCCAAAGUACUGGCAUUAUAGACCUGAGCCACCACGCCAG